rnacentral:rRNA from 1 species
AAUCUUCCGCAAUGGACGAAAGUCUGACGGAGCAACGCCGCGUGAGUGCUGAAGGUCUUCGGAUCGUGAAACUCUGUUGUUAGGGAAGAACAAGUAUCGUUCGAAUAGGGCUUUACCGUGACGGUACCUAACCAAAAAGCCACGGCUUACUACCUUCCAGCAACCGCAGUAAUACGUAGGUGGCAAGCGUUAUCCGGAAAUAAUGGGCGUAAAGCGCGCGGCGGCGGUUUCGUAAGUCUGAUGUGAAAGCCCACGGCUCCACCGUGGAGGGUCAUUGGAAACUGGGAAGCUUGAGUGCAGAAGAGGAGAGUUGAAUUCCAUGUGUAGCGGUGAAAUGCGUAGAGAUAUGGAGGAACACCAGUGGCGAAGGCGACUCUCUUGUCUGCAACUGACGCUGAGGCGCGAAAGCGUGGGGAGCGAACA